rnacentral:rRNA from 1 species
AGCGGGGAUUAGUGGCGAACGGGUGAGUAACACGUGAGUAACCUGCCCUUAACUCUGGGAUAAGCCUGGGAAACUGGGUCUAAUACCGGAUAUGACUCCUCAUCGCAUGGUGGGGGGUGGAAAGCUUUAUUGUGGUUUUGGAUGGACUCGCGGCCUAUCAGCUUGUUGGUGAGGUAAUGGCUCACCAAGGCGACGACGGGUAGCCGGCCUGAGAGGGUGACCGGCCACACUGGGACUGAGACACGGCCCAGACUCCUACGGGAGGCAGCAGUGGGGAAUAUUGCACAAUGGGCGCAAGCCUGAUGCAGCGACGCCGCGUGAGGGAUGACGGCCUUCGGGUUGUAAACCUCUUUCAGUAGGGAAGAAGCGAAAGUGACGGUACCUGCAGAAGAAGCGCCGGCUAACUACGUGCCAGCAGCCGCGGUAAUACGUAGGGCGCAAGCGUUAUCCGGAAUUAUUGGGCGUAAAGAGCUCGUAGGCGGUUUGUCGCGUCUGCCGUGAAAGUCCGGGGCUCAACUCCGGAUCUGCGGUGGGUACGGGCAGACUAGAGUGAUGUAGGGGAGACUGGAAUUCCUGGUGUAGCGGUGAAAUGCGCAGAUAUCAGGAGGAACACCGAUGGCGAAGGCAGGUCUCUGGGCAUUAACUGACGCUGAGGAGCGAAAGCAUGGGGAGCGAACAGGAUUAGAUACCCUGGUAGUCCAUGCCGUAAACGUUGGGCACUAGGUGUGGGGGACAUUCCACGUUUUCCGCGCCGUAGCUAACGCAUUAAGUGCCCCGCCUGGGGAGUACGGCCGCAAGGCUAAAACUCAAAGGAAUUGACGGGGGCCCGCACAAGCGGCGGACAUGCGGAUUAAUUCGAUGCACGCGAAGAACCUUACCAAGGCUUGACAUGGACCGGACCGGGCUGGAAACAGUCCUUCCCCUUUGGGGCCGGUUCACAGGUGGUGCAUGGUUGUCGUCAGCUCGUGUCGUGAGAUGUUGGGUUAAGUCCCGCAACGAGCGCAACCCUCGUUCCAUGUUGCCAGCGCGUAAUGGCGGGGACUCAUGGGAGACUGCCGGGGUCAACUCGGAGGAAGGUGGGGACGACGUCAAAUCAUCAUGCCCCUUAUGUCUUGGGCUUCACGCAUGCUACAAUGGCCGGUACAAAGGGUUGCGAUACUGUGAGGUGGAGCUAAUCCCAAAAAGCCGGUCUCAGUUCGGAUUGGGGUCUGCAACUCGACCCCAUGAAGUCGGAGUCGCUAGUAAUCGCAGAUCAGCAACGCUGCGGUGAAUACGUUCCCGGGCCUUGUACACACC